AUAUCGGAUAGCGCUGCUGCCACGACACGAUUGACGAACAGGAUUAGCAUUUCAUGCAAUGGAACUUCACAUUGUUUAUCAGUCAAACAUACCAAAUGACCCCGCUCUGUGGACGAAAGACGACGUCAAGGUGUGGCUUCUCGAAUCCGAGAGGCAGUUUGACUUUCUGCCACUGAACACGGAUGCUUUCCAAAUGAACGGCAAGAAGCUAUGCCUCAUGACCGAAGAACAGUUCUUGGCUCUAGAGCCUCGUUACGGCGACAUUCUGUACGAGUACCUGCAGCUCUUGAUCGGAGAUCGCUCGAAGAUGCUCUAGGGCUGGCUCCCGAAGUGACUCGAUCUGUCUUUUCCAGGACAUCUUCCUGCUAGACCUAUACGUAUAUUAAGCACAGUCAAUAUCAUAUUACGUAUUCAGUGUAUAUUACUUAUUCAUUAUCAGUACAUUGUAUCUAAGCAUUUAUAUGCGAGUUCCCUACUGCAUUAGCUCAAGUACUAAAGUGGCGCG